CUGCGGAGGAGUGAGAUGGCCAGUGUGGCGUUGAGGCGGAGAGAAGAUUUCGGGAAACAGUAUUGGAAUGGUGGACCAGUGGAAGUUGAUGUGGAUGAGGGGUUGAAUGAAGAUGAGAAACCACUCUCAAUAGUAGCCGCCAACAAGUGAUAUGUCUGGUGACUUGUGAACACUCGGUUCGUUGAACAAUACGUUCAGCAGUAAAGCAAAAGAGGCACACCGAUUUGGCUAUCCCAUCUGUGUCUUCCUUCUCCCACCCUUUGCUGUAGCACGCUACCCUCUGACACUCCCUCUCCGCGCGGCCCGACAAGUCUGGCUGGCCGGCGACCCCUGCCCGCCGUGCUGUGGCUGGGCACCACGGCGGGUAAGGACUAAGCCGCCGAGUCAGCACCAGCUAACACACGUUAGCGAGUCGACAUUAGUCGACACAGGCCGGGCUCCCCUCAUUGGCAUAGCCCGGGCGAGGCUCAGCUUCGCAUAUCAGACUUAUCCUUAUCCCUGUCCGCCACGUCGCUGCCAUCCUAUGCGAGGGGAAUCGUGCAACUGAUCUGGAAUAUCAAUCUUGCCGCGAAUUAGCGAAAGAGUUCGGACUGAAAUUAUUCUACUGAGCACGACAGCAUUAAAGUUAGCUAUACGAAGUCCUUUCAUAUAACUUAUCAUAUGAUUUUAAUAUAAAUCAGUAAUUAAUAAUAUUCUAAAGAAGUCACUUA